rnacentral:rRNA from 1 species
GGAUGAACGCUGGCGGCGUGCCUAACACAUGCAAGUCGAGCGGCAGCGAGGGGUGCUUGCCCCCUGUCGGCGAGCGGCGGACGGCUGAGUAGCGCGUGGGAACGUGCCCCAAAGUGAGGAAUAACUGCCCGAAAGGGUAGCUAAUACCGCAUAUUAUCUUCGGAUCAAAGGAUUUAUCCGCUUUGGGAGCGGCUCGCGUCGGAUUAGGUAGUUGGUGAGGUAAUGGCUCACCAAGCCGACGAUCCGUAGCUGGUCUGAGAGGAUGACCAGCCAGACUGGAACUGAGACACGGUCCAGACUCCUACGGGAGGCAGCAGUGAGGAAUCUUCCACAAUGGGCGAAAGCCUGAUGGAGCAACGCCGCGUGCAGGACGAAGGCCUUCGGGUUGUAAACUGCUUUUAUAAGUGAGGAAUAUGACGGUAACUUAUGAAUAAGGAUCGGCUAACUACGUG